AUGUAGAGGCAGAUUGAGCUCUGUGAGUUCAAGGCCAGCCUGGUCUACAUAGCAAGUUCCAGGACAGCCAAAGCUACACAGAGAAACUCUGUCUCAAAAACAAAAACAAAAAUUAAAAAAAAAAAAAAAGAAAAAAGGCAUGAGCCAGUGAGAUCUUCUUUUGGGGAGGUUGAAUCUGCAGAAUUUGGUACCUUUGGAUAUGGAGGUAGAUAGAAACAAUAUGAAAGGUGGUUUAGAGGUGUUCCUGACUCUGGAAACAGGUGUAAGGUUAUUCUGGGUCUCUGAGUCAUGUGUUGACUAGCAUAGAGCUUGAGGAAUGUGGGGGUACUCAGGGCAGAUGUGGGGCAUAAUAGCAGCUCUGAAGAAUCUGUGAGCAAAUGAUAUCUGCUGUUUUCCUUUUCCCCUACCCAGCCUCUACUAUUCUGAUAAUAGAACCAUCAUUUUUUUUUUUUUUUUGAGGUGAUCUGUCCUCUCCAUGUCAAUAGAACCAUCAUUUUUGGUAUGGCUUCCCUCUCUAUCAUAAUAGAACUAUGAUUUUUUUUGGGGGGGGGGGAGGCUGUCCUACAUGAUAAUAAAUCCCCAGGAUGACUUCUCAUUGGCUCUAUCAGUGAGCAUGUGAGCAGGCUCUAACCAGUCAGAGCCUUGAUUGUUUUCCUGUAGGGACUGUUUCAGCAUGAGGAUGAAUGUGAUUUCUGGGCCAGAGGCUACUGUUCUGCUGAGAACACUGCUUUCUAGGGACAGCACAGAGUAAGGCAACACCACACAAUGCUGAAUCAAAGGCUGAGUGAGGGGUUGAGGGAGGUAGGAGGACAACAAAGACGCGGUGAUGGUGAGAGUGAGACUCCUUAUCGCUGUUUGAUUGAUUUUGGCAGCCAGCUUUUCUAGGAGCCAGAAGUGUGUCCUUGGCUUCCUGUUGGGCAAACUGGUUAUUUGAUUACAGCCAAAGAGUUUUGACUCGAGGUCAGGAGUUACAGGCCAAAGACAGAUGCCAGGCCCAGAAGGGCAGUACACAGCUAGGGAAGAGAAGGUCUCCAGAGUCCUUUUAGCUAAGUGAAAACAUGGGUUUUAGGUUUUGCAUUGGUGUAGGUUUGUUUUCCCCAAACAAAUAAAUAAUGCAGUCCCCAACUGGUUGCUUUUGUUGGACUUUUGUUGUAGG
rnacentral:lncRNA from 1 species